AACGAACGCUGGCGGCAUGCCUAACACAUGCAAGUCGAACGAGACCUUCGGGUUUAGUGGCGGAGGGGGGCGUAAGGCGGGGGAAGUUGCACGUAGGUUCGGAAUAACUCCCUGAAGGGGGUGCUAAUACAGGUGAAUGUCAUCGGAGAAAAGAGUUAUCGCUUUUGGGUGGGGCCGGGUUGGAUUAGCUAGUUGGUAGUGUACAAGCCUACCAUGGCGACGAUGCAUAGCUGGUCUGAGAGGAUGCUCCGGCACACUUGAACUGAGACACGGCCCAGACUCCUACGGGAGGCAGCAGUGGAGAAUAUUGGACAAUGGACGAAGGCCUGAUCCAGCAAUGCCGCGUAAGUGGUGCAGGCCUUAGUGUUGUAAAGCUCUUUUACCCGAGAUGAUAAUGACAGUACCGGGAGAAUAAGCGCCGGCUAACUCCGUG
rnacentral:rRNA from 1 species